AUUGAACGCUGGCGGCAUGCCUUACACAUGCAAGUCGAACGGCAGCACGGGAGCAAUCCUGGUGGCGAGUGGCGAACGGGUGAGUAAUAUAUCGGAACGUGCCCAGUAGUGAGGGAUAACUGCGCGAAAGAGCAGCUAAUACCGCAUACGACCUGAGGGUGAACGGGGGGGAUCGCAAGACCUCUCGCUAUUUGAGCGGCCGAUAUCAGAUUAGCUAGUUGGUGGGGUAAAGGCCUACCAAGGCAACGAUCUGUAGUUGGUCUGAGAGGACGACCAGCCACACUGGGACUGAGACACGGCCCAGACUCCUACGGGAGGCAGCAGUGGGGAAUUUUGGACAAUGGGCACAAGCCUGAUCCAGCAAUGCCGCGUGCAGGAAGAAGGCCUUCGGGUUGUAAACUGCUUUUGUCAGGGAAGAAAUCCUCUAGGUUAAUACCCUUGGGGGGAUGACGGUACCUGAAGAAUAAGCACCGGCUAACUACGUGCCAGCCGCCGCAGUAAUAC
rnacentral:rRNA from 1 species